rnacentral:rRNA from 1 species
CGACCCGUUACGACGGGGAAGUGUCUGAUGUCAGGCUUCCAAGAAAAGCCCGAACCACGUUAAUUCAAAUUGGCCCGUACCCUAAACCGACACAGGUGGGAAGGUAGAGUAUACCCAGGGGCGCGAGAUAACUCUCUCUAAGGAACUCGGCAAAAUGGCCCCGUAACUUCGGGAGAAGGGGUGCCACCGAGAGGUGGUCGCAGUGAAGAGUCCCAGGCGACUGUUUACCAAAAACACAGGUCUCCGCUAAGUCGCAAGACGAUGUAUGGGGGCUGACGCCUGCCCAGUGCCGGAAGGUUAAGGAAGUUGGUCAGGGAGCAAUCCUGAAGCUAGCGACUGAAGCCCCGGUGAACGGCGGCCGUAACUAUAACGGUCCUAAGGUAGCGAAAUUCCUUGUCGGGUAAGUUCCGACCCGCACGAAAGGCGUAACGAUCUGGGAGCUGUCUCGGAGAGAGGCUCGGCGAAAUAGGAAUGUCUGUGAAGAUACGGACUACCUGCACCCGGACAGAAAGACCCUAUGAAGCUUUACUGUAGCUUGGUAUUGGGUUCGGGCUUUGAUUGCGCAGGAUAGGUGGGAGACUAUGAGAUAGCUCUUGUGGGAGUUAUGGAGUCACUGGUGAGAUACCACUCUAUCAAGGCUAGAAUUCUAACUUUGACCCGUUAUCCGGGCAGAGAACAGUAUCAGGUGGGCAGUUUGACUGGGGCGGUCGCCUCCUAAAUGGUAACGGAGGCGCGCAAAGGUUCCCUCAGGCUGGUUGGAAAUCAGCCAUUGAGUGUAAAGGCAUAAGGGAGCUUGACUGCGAGACUGACAAGUCGAGCAGGUACGAAAGUAGGCCUUAGUGAUCCGACGGUUCCGCGUGGAAGGGCCGUCGCUCAACGGAUAAAAGUUACUCUAAGGAUAACAGGCUGAUCUCCCCCAAGAGUUCACAUCGACGGGGAGGUUUGGCACCUCGAUGUCGGCUCAUCGCAACCUGGGGCUGUAGUCGGUCCCAAGGGUUGGGCUGUUCGCCCAUUAAAGCGGUACGUGAGCUGGGUUCAGAACGUCGUGAGACAGUUCGGUCCAUAUCCGGUGCAGGCGUAGGAACAUUGAGAGGAGUCUUCCUUAGUACGAGAGGACCGGGAAGAACGCACCGCUGGUGUACCUGUUAUCGUGCCAACGGUAAACGCAGGGUAGCCAAGUGCGGAGAGGAUAACCGCUGAAAGCAUCUAAGUGGGAAGCCCACCUCAAGAUGAGUGUUCCCAUGGCAAAAGCCAGUAAGGUCACGGGUAGACCACCCGUUAAUAGGCGCUAGAUGGAAGUCCAGC